rnacentral:rRNA from 1 species
AUUGAACGCUGGCGGCAGGCCUAACACAUGCAAGUCGAACGAGUGGCGGACGGGUGAGUCAUGUCUGGGAAACUGCCUGAUGGAGGGGGAUAACUACUGGAAACGGUUGCUAAUACCGCCUACCAUCACAUGUGCCCAGAUGGGAUUAGCUAGUUGGGGGGGUAACGGCUCACCAAGGCGACGAUGCCUAGCUGGUCUGAGAGGAUGACAAGCAAAACUGGAACUGAGAAACGGUCCAGAAUCCUACGGGAGGCAGCAGUGGGGAAUAUUGGACAAUGGGCGCAAUCCUGAUGCAGCCAUGCCGCGUGUAUGAAGAAGGCCUUCGGGUUGUAAAGUACUUUCAGCGGGGAGGCGUUACCCGCAGAAGAAGCACCGGCUAACUCCGUGCCAGCAGCCGCGGUAAUUC